rnacentral:tRNA from 1 species
GCCUGGGUGGCUCAGCCGGUUGAGCGUCUGACUUCAGCUCAGGUCAUGAUCAGGUCAUGUUUGUGAAUUUGAGCCCCACGUCAGGCU